ACAUAGGGGUGUGCAGGGUUUUGUGGGGUCUUUUGGGGUCUCACUGCCCCCCCGUUUUCCCCCCCCAGCCCGUGCUGCCCCACACCGCCGUGUGCCGGGCGUGCGGCGAGGCCGGCCGGGAGGACGCGGCCGAGGGCGAGGAGGAGAGGCUGGAGCUGGCGCUGAUGGAGUGCACCAUCUGCAGCGAGAUCGUCCACCCCCGCUGCCUCCAGGUACCCCGGGGGGGCCCCAAAAUUUGGGGGGGGGGGCACCCCGUUUUGGGGCAAAAACCCCCCAACGAUAGGGCCGCCGAUUUACGGGGCCGUAACCCCGGUACGCCGCGCUUCCGCCCCCGUUAAACCUCUUUUCGUCCCGUUUUUGCCUUAAUUUGGGGGGCGUCCUGCUCGAAGACCCCCCCCCGACCUAAAAACCCCCACCCCAAAAUUUGGGGACCCCCCCCAUUUUCCUAUAGGGCGGCCGCCCCAAAGAUUGGGGCGCUAUGGGGCCGCCGGCGUCGCGUAACGGCAAGACGUGCCCCAAAAAAGUAGGGUUUUUUCCCAAAAAUUGGAUUUUUUUCCCCCCCAAAGUGUGUUUUUUUCCCCAUGGGGGGGCCGCCGUAUAGGGGGUGCCCCCCUAAAUAUGGGGGGACCCCCCUAAAUAUAGGGGAACCCCCCUAAAUAUAGGGGAGCCCCCACUUUCUAUGGGGCAGCCCCGUGUAGCAUAGGGGGGAACCCAAACUCUCUGUUUUUUGGCAAAUUGGGGGAUUUUCCCUAAAAUCAAGGCUUUUACCCCAAAAAGUAGAGCUUCCCCUAUAUGGGGGUGCCCCAAAAAAUAUGGGUGGGCCCCCAUUUUUUAUAGGGCAGCCCCCUAUGGGGUGGGGAGCCCCCCCUAUGGGGCACAACGCGACCCAAACUCCCCAUUUUUUGGCAAUUUGGGGGAUUUUCCCUUAAAUCGAGGGUUUUACCCCAAAAAGCGGGGCUUCCCCUAUAUGGGGGUGCCCCAAAAAUUAUGGGGGGGCCCCGUUUUCUAUAGGGCAGCCCCCUAUGGGGUGGGACGGGGCCCUAUGGGGCAGCACCCAACCUAAACGCUCCCCAAAAGUAGGGUUUUUCCCCCCAAAAGUGGGCUUUUUCCCCAAAAACGUGGGAUUUUUCCCCAAAAACAUGUAUUUUUCCCCAAAAAGCUCAGAUUUCCCCAUUCCCCCCCAAAUUUAGGGGUCCCCUAAAUAUUUGGGAUCCCCUAAAUACGGGGCUGCCCCCCCAAAUUUCCCAACGGAGCCGUGCUACGC
rnacentral:lncRNA from 1 species